AGUGAACGCUGGCGGUAGGCCUAACACAUGCAAGUCGAACGGCAGCACAGUAAGAGCUUGCUCUUACGGGUGGCGAGUGGCGGACGGGUGAGGAAUACAUCGGAAUCUACUUUUUCGUGGGGGAUAACGUAGGGAAACUUACGCUAAUACCGCAUACGACCUACGGGUGAAAGCAGGGGAUCUUCGGACCUUGCGCGAUUGAAUGAGCCGAUGUCGGAUUAGCUAGUUGGCGGGGUAAAGGCCCACCAAGGCGAUGAUCCGUAGCUGGUCUGAGAGGAUGAUCAGCCACACUGGAACUGUGACACGGUCCAGACUCCUACGGGAGGCAGCAGUGGGGAAUAUUGGACAAUGGGCGCAAGCCUGAUCCAGCCAUACCGCGUGGGUGAAGAAGGCCUUCGGGUUGUAAAGCCCUUUUGUUGGGAAAGAAAAGCAGCAGGUUAAUACCCCGCUGUUCUGACGGUACCCAAAGAAUAAGCACCGGCUAACUUCGUG
rnacentral:rRNA from 1 species